rnacentral:lncRNA from 1 species
CUUCAAGUUGAGAUGAUGAAUCCUCUUCCCAUGAAUGAUCAGUGUAAGAUUUUGGUUCUAAAUAAUUUCUAACAUUUUUCUAAGUGAGCGUUUUUGCUGUAAACUCCUUUGCAUAAGCUUCAAACUUUGCAAAGGUAGCAUAUACAUCAUCUUUCUUGGUUGUCUUGACCUUGCAUACAAACAAAAAGAAAAUAUCUUAGUAGCAUUCCACUAGAUAAAAA